rnacentral:rRNA from 1 species
CAGUAGCCACGGGAAUACGAAGGGUGCAAGCGUUACUCGGAAUUACUGGGCGUAAAGCGUGCGUAGGUGGUGGUUUAAGUCCGUUGUGAAAGCCCUGGGCUCAACCUGGGAAUUGCAGUGGAUACUGGGUCACUAGAGUGUGGUAGAGGAUAGUGGAAUUUCCGGUGUAGCAGUGAAAUGCGUAGAGAUCGGAAGGAACAUCUGUGGCGAAGGCGACUAUCUGGGCCAACACUGACACUGAGGCACGAAAGCGUGGGGAGCAAACAGGAUUAGAUCCCCGGUAGUCCCUGUCUCUUAUACA